AUUGUCUUUGUGGUGACACUUCUUGAAAAUAUUUUGUUUGAUGAAACUGCAUUUUUUCUUAAAAACUUUUUCUUUGAUUUAACUACUUUUAACGUAAGUCGUGUAGUAGUGACUUAUGAGAUUUAUUUUAUUUCAAUAUUGACAAAAAUAAUGCAGACUAUAAACAAUGGAAUUUAUCGCAAAGGCUUUACCUAAAAAACUAGUGAGUACUCUAAGACAUUCAAAAACAUCACGAGUUGCGUGUUGCAGUUCAGAUAAGUGCGCCAUUUACAAAAUUUUACCAAUUUUUAUUUUUAGACCAAAUGAAUUGUCUUUCAUUGUUCUGUCUUUAUUUUAUUAUUGCUUGCAUUUAUAUGUUAUUUUUCGAUAUAUUUUACACAAAUGGUAAAUUGCGCUGUAAAACAAAACGAGCUUUUUUAAAUUUUUAUAACUUACACCUCUUUUAAAAAAUUAAAUUAUUUUAGAAAAGGAAAAAAAAAAAAAGGAGACGAAGAAACAGGAGCAGCAUAGAGACAUAAACACAAAACAACAGUAUUAAGAACGACAAAAAAAGUAUGAAAUGAAUGAAUGUUGAAAAGAAGUUUCAAGAAUUCAAAACCAUCAGUGGUAGUAAUGUGAAACUACAAAUUUUUUUUAUCUGAAAAUUAUCACUAAUCAACUUGAUAAACUCGACACAUGGCAUUUGCUAUCCCACUAAUUUGCUGCUUUAGAGGCAUGGCAUUUAGUGUCACAUUGUAGGUUUAAAUUGGUUGUAGAAUUUAUAUUGUAACUUGCAUAUUUAUUUAGUUGAGUUUAAUCUAAGUUUAUAUUUGAUGUGUUUGUAUUAUUUUAGAAUUUACUGUUUUAGACACGUGGCAUGUGGUAUCCCACUACAUUUGGUAUAAGCUGUCAUACUAAUUUGCUGUUUUAGACAUGUGACUUGUAAUAUCCCACUAAUUAGCUAUUUUAAACAUGUGACAAGUGGUAUGACAUUUUUUUAAAAGGUUAGAGACCUUAUUUUCUGCUCCUGAUAGGUAUUGAUGUAUGUAAAAUGUAUAGAGUCUUUCAGUUAUCAGAUAAUGUCAAGAAGUUGACAGCAUGGUGUCCGAUUUAAAGUGCAAACCUGUGUACGAGUAACAACAGUAUUCAAAACCAAAACCUAUUUAAACCAACCAAACCAAAACUAGCGACCAAAAACUAAUAUCUUGGCAUUGGUUUAUUUUAAACAUCUAUUAUAUAUAUGUGUGUGUUUUAUAUAAAUGUACUAGCUUGAGUAUAGUGUAUUAAAAGUAUUUUUUUUAACUAUUUUUAUUGUAAUUUAAAGUAUA